rnacentral:rRNA from 1 species
GAUGAACGCUGGCGGCGUGCCUAAUACAUGCAAGUCGAGCGAACAGACGAGGAGCUUGCUCCUCUGACGUUAGCGGCGGACGGGUGAGUAACACGUGGAUAACCUACCUAUAAGACUGGGAUAACUUCGGGAAACCGGAGCUAAUACCGGAUAUUAUAUUGAACGGCAUGGUUCAUAAGGGAAAAAGGGUUUUGCUGUCACUAUUAGUUGGUUCCGCGCCGCAUUAGCUAGUUGGUAAGGUAACGGCUUACCAAGGCAACGAUGCGUAGCCGACCUGAGAGGGUGAUCGGCCACACUGGAACUGAGACACGGUCCAGACUCCUACGGGAGGCAGCAGUAGGGAAUCUUCCGCAAUGGGCGAAAGCCUGACGGAGCAACGCCGCGUGAGUGAUGAAGGUCUUCGGAUCGUAAAACUCUGUUAUUAGGGAAGAACAAAUGUGUAAGUAACUAUGCACGUCUUGACGGUACCUAAUCAGAAAGCCACGGCUAACUACGUG